rnacentral:rRNA from 1 species
GAUGAACGCUAGCGGCAGGCUUAACACAUGCAAGUCGAGGGGCAGCAUAAUGGUAGUAAUACUAUUGAUGGCGACCGGCGGACGGGUGCGUAACGCGUAUGCAACCUACCCUUUACAGGGGGAUAACACUGAGAAAUCGGUACUAAUACCCCAUAAUAUUCUGGGAGGCAUCUUUCGGAGUUGAAAGCUUUGGUGGUAAAGGAUGGGCAUGCGUUGUAUUAGCUAGUUGGUAAGGUAACGGCUUACCAAGGCGACGAUACAUAGGGGGACUGAGAGGUUAACCCCCCACAUUGGUACUGAGACACGGACCAAACUCCUACGGGAGGCAGCAGUGAGGAAUAUUGGUCAAUGGACGGAAGUCUGAACCAGCCAUGCCGCGUGCAGGAAGACGGCUCUAUGAGUUGUAAACUGCUUUUGUACGAGGGUAAACGCAGAUACGUGUAUCUGCCUGAAAGUAUCGUACGAAUAAGGAUUCGGCUAACUCCGUCCCAGCAGCCGCGGUAAUACGGAGGAUCCAAGCGUUAUCCGGAUUUAUUGGGUUUAAAGGGUGCGUAGGCGGUUUAGUAAGUCAGCGGUGAAAUUUUGGUGCUUAACACCAAACGUGCCGUUGAUACUGCUGGGCUAGAGAGUAGUUGCGGUAGGCGGAAUGUAUGGUGUAGCGGUGAAAUGCUUAGAGAUCAUACAGAACACCGAUUGCGAAGGCAGCUUACCAAACUAUAUCUGACGUUGAGGCACGAAAGCGUGGGGAGCAAACAGGAUUAGAUACCCUGGUAGUCCACGCAGUAAACGAUGAUAGCUCGUUGUCGGCGAUACACAGUCGGUGACUAAGAGAAAUCGAUAAGCUAUCCACCUGGGGAGUACGUUCGCAAGAAUGAAACUCAAAGGAAUUGACGGGGGCCCGCACAAGCGGAGGAACAUGUGGUUUAAUUCGAUGAUACGCGAGGAACCUUACCCGGGCUUGAAAGUUACUGACGAUUCUGGAAACAGGAUUUCCCUUCGGGGCAGGAAACUAGGUGCUGCAUGGUUGUCGUCAGCUCGUGCCGUGAGGUGUCGGGUUAAGUCCCAUAACGAGCGCAACCCCUACUGAUAGUUGCCAUCAGAGCGUUUGAGCGAUCAAACAAGCUGGGCACUCUAUCGGGACUGCCGGUGUAAGCCGAGAGGAAGGUGGGGAUGACGUCAAAUCAGCACGGCCCUUACGUCCGGGGCGACACACGUGUUACAAUGGUAGGUACAGAGGGCAGCCACCCAGUGAUGGGGAGCGAAUCUCGAAAGCCUAUCUCAGUUCGGAUUGGAGGCUGAAACUCGCCUCCAUGAAGUUGGAUUCGCUAGUAAUCGCGCAUCAGCCAUGGCGCGGUGAAUACGUUCCCGGGCCUUGUACACACCGCCCGUCAAGCCAUGGGAGUUGGGGGUGCCUGAAGUUCGUGACCGAAAGGAGCGACCUAGGGCAAAACCGAUGACUGGGGCUAAGUCGUAACAAGGUAGCCGUACCGGAAGG